rnacentral:rRNA from 1 species
UAGGGAAUCUUCGGCAAUGGACGAAAGUCUGACCGAGCAACGCCGCGUGAGUGAAGAAGGUUUUCGGAUCGUAAAACUCUGUUGUUAGAGAAGAACAAGGACGUUAGUAACUGAACGUCCCCUGACGGUAUCUAACCAGAAAGCCACGGCUAACUACGUGCCAGCAGCCGCGGUAAUACGUAGGUGGCAAGCGUUGUCCGGAUUUAUUGGGCGUAAAGCGAGCGCAGGCGGUUUCUUAAGUCUGAUGUGAAAGCCCCCGGCUCAACCGGGGAGGGUCAGUGGAGACUGGGAGACUGGAGUGCAGAAGGGGAGAGUGGAAUUCCAUGUGUAGCGGUGAAAUGCGUAGAUAUAUGGAGGAACACCAGUGGCGAAGGCGGGUCUCUGGGCUGUAACUGACGCUGAGGCGCGAAAGCGUGGGGAGCAAACAGG